GUCAUUUCAUUUUUGCGAUUUGGUCCCAGGACCGACUCAGAACGCUCGCCUCCUCGCAUCCCUUCUUUCUUCCCUUCUCUCCUCGAUCAACUCGAGGCAGCGGCGGACGUGGUGACGGCUGAGCAUAGUGGGUGGCAGGGAUGAGAGCGGAGCCUCGCCAUCGGCGGCCCGGCGAAGCUGCAACACACUAUGGAUCUUUUGAUGACCUUUUCAUUGUCCAAAUACACCACAAAGAAUUUUUGUGUGGAACCGGUUGCAACAUGACUUAUAUGGACUAUGAAGUGGACUGUUUUGAUAAUGUGAUAGUGACACUUGGUCACUACUGUGGAUUGAUGAUUUUCUCAAGCAACUUGAUUAUGACAGAGCUGUGGACAAGCAUGAUGUUUAUUGGUGCCAGCCUGGAAAGUCAGUAGCUGAUGGACUGAAAGAGAUUGUUUGUGAUGCAGAUGUCUUGUUAAUGAUUUCAACAACAACUAAGCACAAGAAUUUGCUAUUGAUUGUUGACCAUGGUGAUACUUUGGAAACUCUGAUCAAAGAAGAUGUGCUUCUAGAUGGAGCUCCUGAGUUGCCCAGAGUUAUAACCCCCACAAAAGGCUGGAAGGGAAAAGAAGCUACUGUUAUGACCGACCAGGUCUAUGGCCGCCGGGGGCCCACUGGGCAGGCUUAAGGCCCAAGUUAUCUUAGUUUAUUUUCAGAUUUUGGUUAUAUAUACAAGUUGUAAGACUAUUUUGAGGAUUAAGCAAUAAGACUAUUCUAUUGCCCGGCUCCCAGAGGAGCCGGGACCC